rnacentral:lncRNA from 1 species
UAUCUUAAUAAUCUUUGUGCCUAAAAUGGAUACAAUUCGGUGGAAACUUGUCCUAGCUCCCAUAUAAGUAAUAUCAGGAUUUUCGAACAUCCGACUCACUUUACUUCAUAUAAUCAGUUUUUUUAGUAAGUGAUAUGUUAAUAGUAUGUGGUAAUGGAAAAAGUAGAUAAAAUCUGGUCGAUACUACCCCAACUUCCACAUAAUACAUAUAAUGGUUUUCGUUUUUCUAACAAACCUUAUGUGUUUGUCAGUAUAGGAAUUUUAUACAGUAUACAUAUGUAUAUAUAGUAUAAUAUUGAUUGGAUGUCAAGUUGCACGAGUAUAAAAUGUUCGGCUGCACCCAAACUUAGCCCUUCCUUACUUGUUUAUCCUAAUUUAGUGCUAAGUUAAGUUCCAUAACAUAAAUGUUGGUAUAAUGGCGUUUUGUGGCCGCGUUAGUGUUUAGUUACAAUAUCUCAAUUUUUACUCAAGUUAGAGUUUGCUAGACUAGGGUCUCUACGGCUAUAAUGAAAUUUCAGCCAAAUAUGAGCAAAGUACGCCCAUUGUAGUUUUAAAGGUACUAGUUAGUCAGUUGGCCGUCCUUUCGCUUACUUAGCGGACUUACAGUAGUUUCAAAUAUAGAGCUAUAUAACUUUAUCAUAGAAAUAUUAAAAACGCAUUAAAUUUCAGAAAAAUGCUGUCUAGUUUAAAUCAUCUUGUAGUCAUGUAAAUUUAUUUAUCCCAAAAAUUGGGAUGCCAGGAGCUAACAAGGAUGUAAAAAUUAUAACGGAAACACCAUUAAACAAUGCAAGAAAGAUGGCUAAAUGUAAAUAAAUAUUAAAUUAAUAUUAAUUACAAAAAAAUGUCCCUGCAAAUUAUUCCAAAAUAUUUACUGACGCUCUCUAAUGAGUUAUUUAAAACUCUAAUUAACUCAAUAAUCUUUUGACCACAGUGAAUCUUUCCAUAGCGGAUACCAUGGUAUCGAGUCUCAAUGCGACGUCCAAUUGAGUGUCUGCAUGUUGGAAAACGACUGGCCUUUCGACAUGUUGCUAUUAUGAAGCCGUUGGAAUCACGCCUGAGUAAGCGGGGCAAUCUGGGCAUUGCCGUGUUCAUUUGAAUAACCUCAAUUGCGAUUUCAUGCCCCAUGCUGCUCUUCUUUACAACCGGCGAAGUCGAAUUGAAGGAUGGUACCCGAAUUGUAUGCUAGGCCGAAUGAUGGUUCUGCGAAUCAUUCGCAACAGGAAUAUUUGAGAGUAGGUGGCCUAUAAAGGAAGAAUUACUAUACUACUCGAUAUAAAUUACGAAUUAGAUUUCGAAUAAGCAAAUUAACUGUUCCGAAUUUAUCACUGCCUUAUAAUAGCCGGCUUACAUCAUCAUCGACAUGUUAGAUAUUCACGGUAUUGAGGCACUCCGAAGUACUUUAAGCUGUUGGUUCGCUUCGCAUGUUUUUUUUUAAUAUAUAUUUAUUUGCAAUCUAUCAAUUGACAAUCAUCAAAUUUUUUAAAUACAUUAAUAGUGACAGGAUUGAUUGUUCUCUAUUGAGACUAAUCAAUGUAUUCCUAAAUUAUUUUAUUUGCUUAAACUUC